rnacentral:rRNA from 1 species
UACGUAGGGAGCAAGCGUUGUCCGGAAUCAUUGGGCGUAAAGCGCGCGUAGGUGGCCUCAUAAGUCCGCUGUGAAAGUCAAAGGCUCAACCUUUGAAAGCCGGUGGAUACUGUGAGGCUAGAGUACGGAAGAGGCGAGUGGAAUUCCUGGUGUAGCGGUGGAAUGCGCAGAUAUCAGGAGGAACACCAAUAGCGAAGGCAGCUCGCUGGGACGUUACUGACACUGAGGCGCGAAAGCUAGGGUAGCAAACGGG